UCCUUAUAAAGAGUCUCAGGUGGCCAUGU
rnacentral:piRNA from 1 species